rnacentral:sRNA from 1 species
AGACUGGGUCCAGGCUGGGCUGUGGGUGAGAGGGUGCAGUGCUCAGCCUGGCAGUUGGUCUCUCAGUGGCCAUGGCAUUCAGGGGGCCUGAACCCUGGGUCUCUGCAUCCCUGCUGAGCCAGAGGCUGAGGGCCGAGGAGAAGACGCUGGAUCUGGAGUUCGAAGUUUUGAGCGUGGGGUUUAAUGAGGCGGGUAGAUACGCCCUGAGACUGUCAGCAGAGAACCCCCUGCAGGUUUCUGCAAGAAUGACGGGCAGCAUGAUGCUCAGCUGCAUGUGGAGGCACUGAGGCUGGAUGAACCCUUGGGACGGGCAGCCCAGCGGGUGGGUGAGGCCAUCUUCCCCAUCUACCCGAGGCCGGACCAACCCCGCAUGAACCCAAAGGCUCAGGAUCACGAGGACCUGUACCGCUACUGUGGCAACCUGGCUCUGCUCCGGGCUAGCACGGACCCCACAGCCCGACACUGUGGGAGCCUGGCCUACAGUGUGGCCUUCCACGUCCACCGGGGCCCUCAGCCUCCAGUCUUA